CCUGCCCUUGACUCACCAGGACUUCUCAGCUCAGCUUCUCAAAAUGAGGCUCCCUGCUCACCUCCUAGGGCUGUUGCUGCUCUGGAUCCCUGGAACCACUGGGGAUAUUGUGAUUACCCAGACUCCUCUCUCUGAGCCUGUCACCCAUGGAGAGUGAGUCUCCAUCUCUUACAGGGAGCAGCAGGAAUUCAGAGAUAAUGCAUUUUCCACUC
rnacentral:lncRNA from 1 species